rnacentral:piRNA from 1 species
UAGAAAAUAAAACCAACGUUGAGUCUGGAA